rnacentral:rRNA from 1 species
CCUACGGGUGGCAGCAGUGGGGAAUAUUGGACAAUGGGCGAAAGCCUGAUCCAGCCAUGCCGCGUGUGUGAAGAAGGCCUUCGGGUUGUAAAGCACUUUCAGUGGGGAAGAAAGCCUUGGGGCUAAUACCCUCGAGGAAGGACAUCACCCACAGAAGAAGCACCGGCUAACUCCGUGCCAGCAGCCGCGGUAAUACGGAGGGUGCGAGCGUUAAUCGGAAUUACUGGGCGUAAAGCGCGCGUAGGCGGUCUGAUAAGCCGGUUGUGAAAGCCCCGGGCUCAACCUGGGAACGGCAUCCGGAACUGUCCGGCUAGAGUGCGGGAGAGGAAGGUAGAAUUCCCGGUGUAGCGGUGAAAUGCGUAGAGAUCGGGAGGAAUACCAGUGGCGAAGGCGGCCUUCUGGACUGACACUGACGCUGAGGUGCGAAAGCGUGGGUAGCAAACAGGAUUAGAUACCCUGGUAGUC